rnacentral:tRNA from 1 species
GGGCGGUUACUCAGUUGGGAGAGGACCAGCUCGACAAGCUGGGGUCACUGGUUAGAGGCCAGUACCGCCCA